rnacentral:lncRNA from 1 species
CAUGUCUCUCAAUAAAUGGUCCAACAUAUUAGUAAAAAUGUUAUCUUGAAGUUUAGCUUACCUGUCGAGAAGAAACUCUGUAUGUUCGUUGUGUCGAACCCAUUUCAUCAAAUUCCUCCCUCUUGUAAAAACACUGCGGUCCAAAUGCAAUGAUUGUACGAACAUUUUAUGGUCCUGAGUCUUCCACAGAAUACAUAUAUUUAUAUUUGUACAUUUAGACCACCUUAGUUAUUAAUUCAAAUCAGGUUGUGAAGACACUCUAAUGAGGAAAAUUACCGAGUGCUGCACCACCGUUACUGCUGGUGCUGUUCCUUUCUCUUCCGCUAGAGGGUACAACACACACUCUACCCGCUAAACGCAGAACAGCACACACUUCCUGUGCUCGCUCGGGUUGUUGAUAAACAGCGAGCACAUGCUGAGCACAAUUUUUGUCGUUUUGUCUCAUAACAAAAUGACAACAACUUUGAUUUAAAUACUAAUUUAGUUGCUUGACAUUUUGCAGUUGCCAUGUCUCUGCUAUUAAACGCUGCACAAUGAAAUACUUCACUACUCAGGGCAUUGAUGGAUUUUAUAACAGAGUUUACCACAGCCAUGUCAUGUGUGAUUUUGUCUGUCUCAUCAUUGCAUGCUGCUUAUCGGCUAUUCAAGGACCACAGAGCCUCAUCAGUGGGCUUCCUCCUGAUUGGCUUUUCCUCUGUCCUUUCAGUCUUUUCUCCCAGUAACCAAACUAUCAAAUCACUCAUGAACGAUCUAGAAUGGGCAGGUGAAUCACUUGGUCCUGCUCUUAUUACUUUUGACUUCUUGUGGCUAAGUGAGGACCACAUCACUGCUCGUAUUUAGACCACCUUAGUUAUUAAUUCAAAUCAGGUUGUGAAGACACUCUAAUGAGGAAAAUUACCGAGUGCUGCACCACCGUUACUGCUGGUGCUGUUCCUUUCUCUUCCGCUAGAGGGUACAACACACACUCUACCCGCUAAACGCAGAACAGCACACACUUCCUGUGCUCGCUCGGGUUGUUGAUAAACAGCGAGCACAUGCUGAGCACAAUUUUUGUCGUUUUGUCUCAUAACAAAAUGACAACAACUUUGAUUUAAAUACUAAUUUAGUUGCUUGACAUUUUGCAGUUGCCAUGUCUCUGCUAUUAAACGCUGCACAAUGAAAUACUUCACUACUCAGGUAUGUAUGGUGUGACAAAUACUAUUCGCCACAGUUAGAAUACAGUAUG